rnacentral:rRNA from 1 species
AUUGAACGCUGGCGGCAGGCCUAACACAUGCAAGUCGAGCGGAUGAAGGGAGCUUGCUCCUGGAUUCAGCGGCGGACGGGUGAGUAAUGCCUAGGAAUCUGCCUGGUAGUGGGGGAUAACGUCCGGAAACGGGCGCUAAUACCGCAUACGUCCUGAGGGAGAAAGUGGGGGAUCUUCGGACCUCACGCUAUCAGAUGAGCCUAGGUCGGAUUAGCUAGUUGGUGGGGUAAAGGCCUACCAAGGCGACGAUCCGUAACUGGUCUGAGAGGAUGAUCAGUCACACUGGAGCGGAAACACGGUCCAGACUCCUACGGGAGGCAGCAGUGGGGAAUAUUGGACAAUGGGCGAAAGCCUGGUCCAGCCAUGCCGCGUGUGUGAAGAAGGUCUUCGGAUUGUAAAGCACUUUAAGUUGGGAGGAAGGGCAGUAAGUUAAUACCUUGCUGUUUUGACGUUACCAACAGAAUAAGCACCGGCUAACUUCGUG